rnacentral:rRNA from 1 species
UACGUAGGUGGCAAGCGUUGUCCGGAUUUACUGGGCGUAAAGAGCGCGCAGGCGGUCGGAUAAGUCGAAUGUGAAAGCCCCCGGCUCAACUGGGGAGGGUCAUUCGAUACUGUUCGACUCGAAGGCAGGAGAGGGAAGUGGAAUUCCCGGUGUAGUGGUGAAAUGCGUAGAUAUCGGGAGGAACACCAGUGGCGAAGGCGACUUCCUGGCCUGUUCUUGACGCUGAGGCGCGAAAGCUAGGGAGCAAACGGG